UUCUGUGGGACAGUCGGGGUCCAUCCCAUGGACAGUUGGGGUUCGUGCCUAGGACAAAGAGAGAGAUGGUAUUUUCCACUACUGCAGAUGAGACGCUUGAUUAGCUGAAACAGUGGUCUGAUCCCGUAUGACAUACACAUGUUCCUGUGAUGAAGACUCUACCAUACCUAUGUAUUUGCCAUACACAAUAUGUCUGCAGGUGUGCCUCUCUCUCAGCCAAUGUGAUUGAGGUGGAGAGGAGAAGGACCAGGAGGCAAAGGAGGAAGAGAAGAAAAGGGAAUGCAAUAUUCAGGUUCAUCUCCUCACAGAUGUUGGCAUGGUCACACACACAUUUGAGCAGCUCUGACAUUCCAUCUAGCAGAAGGCAGUCGUGUGGGAAGACGGACAGAG